GAUGAACGCUGGCGGCGUGCCUAAUACAUGCAAGUCGAGCGAACGGACGAGAAGCUUGCUUCUCUGAUGUUAGCGGCGGACGGGUGAGUAACACGUGGAUAACCUACCUAUAAGACUGGGAUAACUUCGGGAAACCGGAGCUAAUACCGGAUAAUAUUUUGAACCGCAUGGUUCAAAAGUGAAAGACGGUCUUGCUGUCACUUAUAGAUGGAUCCGCGCUGCAUUGCUAGUUGGUAAGGUAACGGCUUACCAAGGCAACGAUGCAUAGCCGACCUGAGAGGGUGAUCGGCCACACUGGAACUGAGACACGGUCCAGACUCCUACGGGAGGCAGCAGUAGGGAAUCUUCCGCAAUGGGCGAAAGCCUGACGGAGCAACGCCGCGUGAGUGAUGAAGGUCUUCGGAUCGUAAAACUCUGUUAUUAGGGAAGAACAUAUGUGUAAGUAACUGUGCACAUCUUGACGGUACCUAAUCAGAAAGCCACGGCUAACUACGUG
rnacentral:rRNA from 1 species